rnacentral:rRNA from 1 species
GACGAACGCUGGCGGCGUGCCUAAUACAUGCAAGUUGAGCGCUGAAGGUUGGUACUUGUACCGACUGGAUGAACAGCGAACGGGUGAGUAACGCGUGGGGAAUCUGCCUUUGAGCGGGGGACAACAUUUGGAAACGAAUGCUAAUACCGCAUAACAACUUUAAACACAAGUUUUAAGUUUGAAAGAUGCAAUUGCAUCACUCAAAGAUGAUCCCGCGUUGUAUUAGCUAGUUGGUGAGGUAAAGGCUCACCAAGGCGAUGAUACAUAGCCGACCUGAGAGGGUGAUCGGCCACAUUGGGACUGCGACACGGCCCAAACUCCUACGGGAGGCAGCAGUAGGGAAUCUUCGGCAAUGGACGAAAGUCUGACCGAGCAACGCCGCGUGAGUGAAGAAGGUUUUCGGAUCGUAAAACUCUGUUGGUAGAGAAGAACGUUGGUGAGAGUGGAAAGCUCAUCAAGUGACGGUAACUACCCAGAAAGGGACGGCUAACUACGUGCCAGCAGCCGCGGUAA